AACGAACGCUGGCGGCAGGCUUAACACAUGCAAGUCGAACGGGUGUAGCAAUACAUCAGUGGCAGACGGGUGAGUAACACGUGGGAACCUUCCUAGGGGUACGGAACAACUCAGGGAAACUUGAGCUAAUACCGUAUACGUCCGUGAGGAGAAAGAUUUAUCGCCCUUAGACGGGCCCGCGUCGGAUUAGCUAGUUGGUGGGGUAACGGCCUACCAAGGCGACGAUCCGUAGCUGAUCUUAGAGGAUGAUCAGCCACACUGGGACUGAGACACGGCCCAGACUCCUACGGGAGGCAGCAGUGGGGAAUAUUGGACAGUGGGCGCAAGCCUGAUCCAGCCAUGCCGCGUGGAUGAUGAAGGCCCUAGGGUUGUAAAGUCCUUUCGGCGGGGAAGAUAAUGACGGUACCCGCAGAAGAAGCCCCGGCUAACUUCGUGCCAGCAGCCGCGGUAAGAC
rnacentral:rRNA from 1 species